rnacentral:rRNA from 1 species
UACGUAGGGGGCAAGCGUUGUCCGGAAUCAUUGGGCGUAAAGCGCGCGUAGGCGGCCCGGUCAGUCCGUUGUGAAAGUCAAAGGCUCAACCUUUGAAUGCCGACGGAUACUGCCGGGCUAGAGUCCGGAAGAGGCGAGUGGAAUUCCUGGUGUAGCGGUGGAAUGCGCAGAUAUCAGGAAGAACACCCGUGGCUAAGGCGGUUCUCUAGUACGGUACUGACGCUGAGACGCGAAAGCGUGGGGAGCGAACAGG